CUAAAUUACUUCUCUCUUUCCUGGGUCUUCAAAACAUUUUGCAGAUGUGCCUUGAGUCCCAGGAGUCCCAGUAGCUUCCAGGGUGUGAGAGUCAUCAUCCAGAUCUGUAUAGUAUGUCAGGUUGUUUUGAAGAGGGAGGGGACGGGAAUCUGUAGCUGGAGUCUUGCCAAAAUAGGGUCUCAAAAGAGACACAUACACGACAAGAUAAAUACGGGAAUAUGAAGAAACUUCCAACAUAUAAUCUACUUUUCUGAUUUGCUUGAUGAUCAU